AUGGUUUCCGACCGCGACAGAAUCUUCACCAGCCGGGUUUGGAGGGAGUUGUGCAAGCUGACACACACGACCCUCAACAUCUCAUCGGCCCGGCACCCGCAGACUGAUGGUACAAUGGAGCGUGUCAACCAAUGUAUGGAGAUUUAUCUCUGCUGUUUCUCCCAUAACUGCCCCAGCAAAUGGAUGGAUUGGCUCUCCCUCGCGGAAUUCUGGUACAACACUUCUUAUCAUUCCACCCUCAAGUCCACACCCUUUGAAGUGCUCUAUGGCCACAAACCUCGCUUCUUCGGCAUCUCUAAUGUGGCCGACGCCGCAGUCACUGAUUUGGCACAGUGGACUGAGGAGCGUGCCACCAUGGUGGCUCUGCUGCGCCAACACCUCAACAGAGCCAGACAGGACAUGAAAGUGAAAGCCGAUCGCAAGCGAUCCGACCGAGUGUUCGCUGUGGGAGAUUGGGUGUUCCUCAAGUUGCAACCAUAUGCGCAGUCGUCUGUGGCGGCGCGGGCUAACCACAAACUUGCCUUCCGCUUCUUUGGACCGUUUCAGGUGCUGCAACGAGUGGGCGAAGUGGCGUACAAACUUGCACUCCCAGAGCAUUCUAGGAUCCAUCCGGUCAUCCAUGUCUCGCAACUGCGUGCAUGCCUUCCACCGGCUACAAGUGCUAUGUCAGAGCUUCCAGUACUCGACGAGGACCUCCUUCCAUUACAAGUACCUGCACUACAAGAAAUAUGUUAA
rnacentral:rRNA from 1 species